UCAAUCCGCUGGAUCUAGCGGGAGGGGAGGUGGCGGCGGCGGCGCCCCUCCCCUCUGCCGGAUCCAGCGGGAGGG
rnacentral:pre_miRNA from 1 species